GUUUGAACUGAUGUGCUUGAAGGGGUGUAUGUGGUGUGUCAUCUUCGAGGUCUGUGACGUCCUGAUGUAGGAAAGUAGGGGUCACGUCAACUAUAGUCUUAUCUACUGCUUUCUGUAGAUACCUCUGUAUGCAGGGGAAUAUGCAACAGGUCAGAAAUAAGAAAAUGACGAUCAUUAUGAGAACAGCUGUCCCUACCUGGAAGAGGGUCCUUUGCCAACCAUUCAUCCAUCCAAACCAUCUGUCCCAAGUGUCAGUGACUCCUGAAUUUUUCUUUAGCUCGUCUACAAGACUAUCUAGCUUCUCUAUGGCCAUAGUCACCUUAC